UCAGUUUUACAAAGUCCACAGUAGAAAUAUAGGGUAAGAUUUUGGGUCAGGACACAAUGGAACAAUUUGGAUCAGCGCCCACCUUUGAAACCCAGGACCUUCCUGUGAUGUUCAGCUGAAGUUCUGCAGCGCUGAACAUACAAUUAACUGUGAAAAUAAGAACACCUACUCUUCAACAAAAAAAAAGAAAAAAAAAAAGAAGAAGAAAAGUCCGAGGGUUGAAUAAAACUCAUGAGAGUAAACACUGAGCAGCUCCAACACAGGAAAGUCCAAGUCAAGGUGUGGAGGGAGUUCCUUUGAUUCGGAGAAAUCCAACAAAUUAAAGAGAAAAAACCCUCUAAUAACACAUUUAUGUUUUAACAUAACACAUUUGUCAGUUUAUUGGAAAAAACAAGAAAACUUCUAAAAAUUUCAUGAAGACAAAAUAAAAAAAGA